UACGUAGGCAGCGAGCGUUGUUCGGAAUUACUGGGCGUAAAGAGUGUGUAGGCGGUGUUCCAAGUCUGGUGUGAAAUCUCCCGGCUCAACUGGGAGGGUGCGCCGAAUACUGAGUGACUCGAGUGCGGGAGAGGAGAGUGGAAUUCCUGGUGUAGCGGUGAAAUGCGUAGAUAUCAGGAGGAACACCGGUGGUGUAGACGGCUCUCUGGACCGUAACUGACGCUGAGACACGAAAGCGUGGGUAGCAAACAGG
rnacentral:rRNA from 1 species